AGCGAACGCUGGCGGCAGGCCUAACACAUGCAAGUCGAACGAAGUCUUCGGACUUAGUGGCGGACGGGUGAGUAACACGUGGGAACGUACCUUUUGGUUCGGAACAACUCAGGGAAACUUGAGCUAAUACCGGAUGAGCCCUUAGGGGGAAAGAUUUAUCGCCGAAAGAGCGGCCCGCGUUAGACUAGCUAGUUGGUGAGGUAAAGGCUCACCAAGGCUACGAUCUAUAGCUGGUCUGAGAGGAUGAUCAGCCACACUGGGACUGAGACACGGCCCAGACGCCUACGGGAGGCAGCAGUGGGGAAUUUUGCGCAAUGGGCGAAAGCCUGACGCAGCCAUGCCGCGUGAAUGAUGAAGGUCUUAGGAUUGUAAAAUUCUUUUACCAGGGACGAUAAUGACGGUACCUGGAGAAAGAGCCCCGGCUAACUUCGUGCCAGCCGCCGCCGUAACAC
rnacentral:rRNA from 1 species